rnacentral:rRNA from 1 species
GGGUCAGUAGGUUGGUCGUGCCACCGGUACGUACUGGUCUCACUGAUUCCUCCUUCCUGAAGAACCGUAAUGCCAUUAAUCUGGUGUUGCGGGGAAACAGGACUGUUACUUUGAAAAAAUUAGAGUGUUUAAAGCAGGCUAACGCUUGAAUACAUUAGCAUGGAAUAAUGAAAUAGGACGAUCGAUCCUAUUUUGUUGGUUUCUAGGAUUGACGUA